rnacentral:lncRNA from 1 species
CUGCUCCUCACUACCCCACUACCUUGUAUUUGUUCAAUUCCUUGAUACUUUUUGAUGAAAAACAUAAUAAAUGCUAUCGGUAUUAAACAAGGUUGGUACUGCUCAUGCUACCGACUCCGGCGUGAGAGUAGAGUACAUCACGUUGGAGUGGAAGGUGGACCUCUUCGGGAUGAGGUAUUGGGGAGUAAGGAACCAGCCCAGGCUAUGCCGGGCCGUGCCGCGCGAACACAGCCGCCCGCACUUGCCUCGCACUAUGCAACACCACGCCAUUCAGCUUCGCCACGAGCUGAAUGGCGAACAAAGCCCAGGUUCAAUUUAGGUUUGAAGUUCAAUUUACGGCGUUGCUUGCG